AGUGCCUCUUCGAGAGGCAUUAGUGCUGUAGGGAAGCCGGAGAGUGUGCUACCUGGGAAGUAUAGCCGCAAGGCCGAAACUUAAAGGAAUAGGCGGGGGAGUACCACAACGAGUGACGCGUACGGUUCAAUUAGAUUCUACACCGUGAACCUUACCAGGAUCGACAGCAGAAUGAAGGUCAGUCUAAAGGGCUUACCUGACACGCUGAGAGGAGAUGCAUGGCCGACGUCAGCCUGUGUCGUGAGAUGACCAGUUAAAUCUGGUAACAGGCGAGACCCGUAUGUAUAUUUGCAUUGAACAAUAUACAGACUGCCUGGGUAACCAGGAGGAAGGUGCGGGCUACGUUAGGUGAGUACGUCCCGAAUACCCUGGGUAACACGCGCGCGUCAAUGCUAGAUACAAAAGGAUGCGACACCGAAAGGUGAAGCCAAUCUUAUAAAACCUAGCCUAGUUCAGAUCGAGGAUUGCAAUUCAUCCUCGUGACGCUGGAAUUCGUAGUAAUCGGGUUUUAUCAGAGCCCGGUGAAUAGGUCCCUGCUCCUUGCACUCACCGCCCGUCAAACCAACCGAGUUUUGCAUCGACGAGGCUCGUCAGAGACGAAUUUUUGUAAGACAAGGUAGGUUAAGUCGUAACAAGGUAGCC
rnacentral:rRNA from 1 species